rnacentral:rRNA from 1 species
UACGGAGGGGGCGAGCGUUGCUCGGAAUCACUGGGCGUAAAGGGCGCGUAGGCGGACCUUUAAGUCGGGUGUGAAAGCCCAGGGCUCAACCUGGGAAUUGCCUGUGAGACUGGGGAUCUAGAGAACGGUAGAGAGGAGCAGAAUUCCGGGUGUAGAGGUGAAAUUCGUAGAUAUGUGGAGGAACACCGAAGGCGAAGGCGGCUUCUUGGGAAGUUACUGACGCUGAGGCGCGAAAGCGUGGGGAGCAAACAGG